rnacentral:misc_RNA from 1 species
CUGAAUUAAAGAAAGCAAUGAAGGGUGUUUGCUGAAUGAAGGACCACCCAAUUCAAUAGCCGAAUUAAUUAAACCCAAAGCAAAUAGUGGAACAUCUUCAUCAUAUGCUAUAGGAUUUGAUCUAGGACCAACUUCAAUGUGCUCAAUAACAUUCAAAAGAGAACAGAGAAAGUGAAAUAUUUCCACCAAGCAAGGGACUCCAAAAGGCUCCAUCAUAAGUUUUUCACC